GAGAAGACUGCAUAGGAGACAGGUCUGUCUGGUGGAGAGAAGCCCUGGGAUAGGGUUUAACAGACAGGAAACCUGCUGCUGACCACUCAACCCCAUCUCAGACUUUGGUCAUCAAGCUAUUACAUGCACGCACGUGCACGCUAUGGAGAAACAAGCUCUGCCCUUGGUCGUUUAAUGAAAUGUCACCUUAAAUGAAGCAAACACUGUGAGCGAUCUGAGAGCUUGGGGAACCUGGCCCGGACGAAGAGGAGAUCUUCCAAAAGCACAGAUUUAAACCUGCAUCGACCACUUUUAAGCAAUCCAGUGAGGGUAAUGCUGUCCCAGGCCAGGAAUCUUGAAUCUUCUUCCAGCCGUGGAUGAGAGGAACUGGAGUACCUGAACAGUGGUGGAGCAAUGGAACGUCCUAAUUCCAACCAGUGCAACUAUGAAUAGUGGGAUGAAUGGAACAAUAUAUACUUGUUCAUCCAAAUUUCAGUUGAGGGCAGUCACCAAAAUUGAAAUGAACAAAUCUUGGUAG